rnacentral:rRNA from 1 species
GACGAACGCUGGCGGCGUGCCUAAUACAUGCAAGUAGAACGCUGAAGAGAGGAGCUUGCUCUUCUUGGAUGAGUUGCGAACGGGUGAGUAACGCGUAGGUAACCUGCCUUGUAGCGGGGGAUAACUAUUGGAAACGAUAGCUAAUACCGCAUAACAAUGGAUGACACAUGUCAUUUAUUUGAAAGGGGCAAUUGCUCCACUACAAGAUGGACCUGCGUUGUAUUAGCUAGUAGGUGAGGUAAUGGCUCACCUAGGCGACGAUACAUAGCCGACCUGAGAGGGUGAUCGGCCACACUUGGACUGAGACACGGCCCAGACUCCUACGGGAGGCAGCAGUAGGGAAUCUUCAGCAAUGGGGGCAACCCUGACCGAGCAACGCCGCGUGAGUGAAGAAGGUUUUCGGAUCGUAAAGUUCUGUUGUAAGUCAAGAACGGGUGUGAGAGUGGAAAGUUCACACUGUGACGGUAGCUUACCAGAAAGGGACGGCUAACUACGUG